UUUUGAUGUGGCCAGAAGAUUUCUUCGCCUAAGGGUUUAGGCUCUAGCGAACCUGAGGGCACUAGUCCCGUUCUUAUUGGGGGAUACUAUCAUAUAGCCUAUCCCCACAAGCGUCAGAGAAACCAUGGUCUUCUAUUGUCGAUGUUUUGGUUCAAGGGUCUUUGCCCUUACAAAUUGAGCCUCCUCCCUCACCCAUUCAUGCCAGGGACCUCUUUAAAGGGAAAAAGAAAGUGUCGUGUCGGUUUGGGCAGGCUUCGAAUGUAAAAGUUUCUUCUUCACACAAUUUCAGGUCUUAGUCCCUCCUAUUACAAUAAACUUGAUGUAGGGAUUUUAUCUACAUUUUCUCCCUUUGUUGCCCAAAUUGUAAUGUUAUGUUAUACCUAUUUUGUUAAAGGAAAUUAUCACAAUAA
rnacentral:lncRNA from 1 species